CAGAGGUUCGAAUCUCGGCGUCAACUUUUUUAUUUUCCCCGGUUUUCCCCUUUCUCCAUCGUCGUCUUCAAACCAGAAAAUCAUGGAGAAAAACGAUUCCCCUUCUCCUCGCAGAAAGGUUAAGUUCGCUCCCAAAGCUCCUGGUCGCAGAAAGCCCAAAUCUGUUCCGCCCAAAACAGAAGCGGGUGAUGAAGAUGAUGAUGGAGCUGCCGAGGCCCAGACUUUGCUCCGUCAGUUUAACG